rnacentral:lncRNA from 1 species
GUGAACCAACAUGAGCAAGUCAUAUUAGAUUAAUUGAUCUAAUUGGUGUCUAGGAAAGCAUGAAAGGUGGUUACUUAAUUAGGACCUUACUCUCCGAGUAAGGGGAGCCUCCCACCUGCUUACCUGGCCAAUUGUUCGAUUACCUCUUAUGAAGAGCUCAAGGUUGCAAACACUAAGACAUGAUUAACCAAUAUUAAGUCAAUAGGUCUUCCACUGUAGUAGAGCUGCUAAGGUCUUUCUGAUGUUGAUUUGUCUCGGUUGGACACAGUGGGCAAGUUGCAUCGGGGGGCUGGACCUCUCUAUAGACAUGAGAUGUUGUAGGGUAAAGGUGGGGUUGGGCACCAAUAACUAUUAGGUGAGGAC